GUGGAUUAGAUACCCUGGUAGUCCUAGCUGUAAACGAUGUAGACUUGGCGUUGGUGGGUUCAAAUCCAUCAGUGCCGAAGCUAACGCGAUAAGUCUACCGCCUGGGGACUACGGCCGCAAGGUUAAAACUCAAAGGAAUUGACGGGGCCCCGCACAAGCAGCGGAGCGUGUGGUUUAAUUCGAUGUUACACGAAGAACCUUACCAGGGUUUGACAUGCAAGUGGUAGGGAUCCGAAAGGUGACCGACCCUUCGGGGAGCUUGCACAGGUGCUGCAUGGCUGUCGCCAACU
rnacentral:rRNA from 1 species